UGUUAAAAAUUUUAUUUAUUUAUUUUAUUAAAAACUAACAUAAUUGACGAAAUAGUCAAAUGGAUAUAUAGGACAUACUACAUGUACCUUAUUAUGAUGUACAAGGACUAAUUUUUAAUAAUAAAAAUAGAUUAAAUUUUUAACA
rfam:Gossypium hirsutum cultivar TM-1 chromosome 23, whole genome shotgun sequence